GCGGGUGUAGUACAACGGCUAGUAUAUGAGUUUUCCAAACUUGGGAUGAGGGUUCGAUUCCCUCCACCCGCACCA
rnacentral:tRNA from 1 species